GAGUUUGAUCGUGGCUCAGAUCGAACGCUGGCGGCAGGCCUAACACAUGCAAGUCGAGCGGAUGACGGGAGCUCGCUCCUUGAUUCAGCGGCGGACGGGUGAGUAAUGCCUAGGAAUCUGCCUGGUAGUGGGGGACAACGUUUCGAAAGGAACGCUAAUACCGCAUACGUCCUACGGGAGAAAGCAGGGGACCUUCGGGCCUUGCGCUAUCAGAUGAGCCUAGGUCGGAUUAGCUAGUUGGUGGGGUAAUGGCUCACCAAGGCGACGAUCCGUAACUGGUCUGAGAGGAUGAUCAGUCACACUGGAACUGAGACACGGUCCAGACUCCUACGGGAGGCAGCAGUGGGGAAUAUUGGACAAUGGGCGAAAGCCUGAUCCAGCCAUGCCGCGUGUGUGAAGAAGGUCUUCGGAUUGUAAAGCACUUUAAGUUGGGAGGAAGGCAGUAAGUUAAUACCUUGCUGUUUUGACGUUACCGACAGAAUAAGCACCGGCUAACUCUGUGCCAGCAGCC
rnacentral:rRNA from 1 species